rnacentral:lncRNA from 1 species
AACCUAGCCUGAAUGGCCUAAUAAUCCUAACCCAAUGAACCCAAAGGCCCAAAUGCAAAACUGGCCCAGUGGCCUAAAUAAUCCAAAGGCUAGUUUCAGAAGGGGAAACCCUAGUCUACUGAUUAGCGCCGCAACAAUGGACUUCGCCCCUAGUCGUCCGAUUUCAAAGGAAGUUUCGGGAAUGUGCUAGAGCAGCACCAAAGGGUCGGGCUCCCACGAGCAAUUUCCCACGCUUGGCUUCCACCUCACAAGGGUCUUCUCCUCUGUACAGCCACGCCUGCAACAGAAUACACGAGAAACAACCAAAAAAAUACACAGCCAAAUGAUAAAAGGAAAAUUUGAUUUUUAUUUUUUAUUUAUUUUGUAAAUCUGGCUAUAAAAGUCCAUCAUUUGUACUCUGAAAAGGUUAGGCAUAUUGAGUAAAAAGAAACCAGAAAUUAUUAAAAGGUGAUUUCGAAUGCCUCAUACUGGCUUUCCCUAAAUUUGGUCCAUAUUUUUUAUUUUUCAUGUGGGUUUCUGCAUAAGAAAGGUAAAAAAAAAAACUUACCUUCAAAUGAGCCAUUGGAGGCCGUAUCUUCUUUGUUGAAAUCGAAACUUGAGAUAGGUUCUCGAGGCUAAAAUCUGACCUUUUGAGGCAAGGUUUAGAAUGGGGGAAUGGAAUGAUUUCAUCGCCUGCUAUCAUCCACCGAUUAUAAUGGUGGAAUGGUGGUGGUUGAAUGGCAGAUCGAAAAGGGGUAAACAUCUAGGGUUUUCCCUUUUCUUCCCCCCAUUUGUUUUGCUGCGAUGCUUAGAUUUGUUUUAGGUUUGUUUUUCUCUUUUAAUUAGCAAAAUGAAGUGGCGUCAUUUAAGGCUUGAUUCGGUAGUCUUAAAAUGACGCCGUGUAGGCUUGCCUGAUGCGAUCCAAUUCUUUGCCCCCAGGAUCUGCGUGUUUUUAGCGGGGAGGGAUAAUUUUGCGCUAGGUCCUUCCUCUUCGCACGGGCAUUCAAUUGCACUCUGUUUACUUUAUUUUGUUUUUAAAUUUGGUUCUGUUAUUUGUGCGUAUUUGCUAAUUGAUCCGCGCCUCAAUACAGCGUUUUGGGGCUUGGAUUAUUUCCAGUUUUAGUCCCUGUGCAUUCGCAUGCGUGGCGCGCUAGUCCUAAUUUUAACCUCAAUGACCAAUUUUAUUUGUGAAUUAUCUCUUCUAUUUUAAUUCAAUUUUAAUUAAGUUUUUUAUUUGUAUGACUUAUUAUUUUAAAAUUCAUUUAAUAUUUGUAUAUAUGUGUUGAUUUAAUUUAACUUUUUUUUCUUUUGUGCUUAUUUGUAUAAUUAUGUUGAAGUUCUUUUUUAUAUCAUAUAAUUUUAACAUUUUGUAUAGUAUUUGAUUCAGUUUUUUUUUAUAUACUUGUACCUAUAUUAUUUUAAUUGAGUCUUCUAUUCAUUAUGAUUUUGAAAGUCCAUUUAGUUUUUUUUAUAUGUAUGUUAAACCAUUUUGAUAACUUUACUUUAUUUUAUAAAAUCAUUACUUUGAAGUUUAUUUUUAUAUCGUAUUAUUUUUAACUAUAUAUAUAAUAUUUUGUUUUAAUGCUUUUAUAUAUAUUUGUACAUAUAUAAUUUAUAUAUUAAUUUAAUCUUAUAUGAACUAUUAAUUCCAUGUUAUUCUUACAUAUAACUGUUUCUAAAUUUGUUUAUAUAUAUAUGUCUUUCAAAUCUAUUGUGUACAUAAUUGGUUUUCUAAGAUCAUAUUUUAUUAAUUUAUUAUGUAUUUUUUUACUAUUUCAUAUUUUGUGUAUUAUUUAAAUUCUCCAUCAUUGUGUGCAUAUUGUCAAAUUUUUUAUAAAUAUACUUUUUUUUAAAACAUUUGGCAUAUUAUUUGAUUUAAAUGUCUUCUUUUUGCAACAUUAAAUUUUAAAAAAAUUAUAUAUAUUCUUUAUUUUUCUUAUAAAUUAUUUCAAGUUCUAGCAUAUGUUAUUAGCUCGUUAAUCUAUCAAUUUUAGAAAUUAUUUUUGUAUCAUAUUGGUUUUAUAUUGUUUGAUAUCUCAUGUGUUAAUUGUCUUUAUAUUAUUUCAUGUAUAUUUGCUACACCACAUUUACUCAUUUUUUAUGUGUUAUUAAAUUAAUUGUUGUUCACCCAUGCUUGUGAAUUUGGUUAUAUUUUGGGUUAAUGGUUUGUUUGGUUAAUUGGUUAAGUAAGGCUAUGUUAUUUUCGUUCACCAACUAUUGUAUUUUAUGCACGUAUAUUAUCCCAUGUUUAUUAUUUUUUCUUUUGGUUUACAAAAUGUUGCAUUAUAAUUUCAAACCCUUUAAAAUCAAUUAUUUCAUUAUAUUACAAGUAAAACUAAGACAUUUUGAGCUAGUUUAUAAUGGUUCAUUAAAUUUUUUUUUUCAAAGAAGGCAAUGCUCAAUAUUUAGAAAUUCGAAGAAUCGUGCCCUACCGUGUUGAGUUUCGAUUCUUCGUUGGACUAAAUAAUUGGACACCAUUUUGUAAUUUUCAAUGUAUAAGCUUUUGGAAGUCAAAAAUCAAUCGUGUUUUCAAAGGUAUAAAGGAUCGUGCCCUAUCGCGCUAGGUGUGGUGCUGUAUACCUUCGAAAUGAGAGAGUUUUGAUGACCAACUUGAACCACUUAAAUGUUUUAAAAGGAACCAUAUUUCAAAAUAUUUUUCCCUAAAAAUCUUAGACAUAAGGACAGCACCUAAUCAAUCUGGUACCAAUUUUUGGGAGUAGUGGGGGUGUUAAUCCUUCCUUAUACGUAAUCGGCUCUCGAACCUAUUUUUUUAAUUUUACGUAGACCAAAACUGAUUUAAAUGGAACAAAAUUUUUUAUUAGGUGAUCCAAUCACACCUAAACAAAAAGAUUGGUAGCGACUCCACAUUUUCGUUUUAAAAGUUGAUUUCCAUUAUUUAAAAAAAAAAUAGUUUCGACAGCUUGCCGACUCCACUAGGGACUGAACAAGAGAGUCAAGCCAUAAAAUUGAUUAUUUGCUAUCCUUUUGUCAAAGAAUUGAAAAUUUGUUUUGAAAAUCAUGAUUCUUUUGAUUGCAUUUGUUUGUAUGAUUAUUGUGGUUUGGGCCUUGUAGAAUAAUAUUGCAUUGCAUUGCAUGACUGCUGUGGUUAUACUUGUUAAGUGGGAGUAAGAAACUAUACUUUCGUGAGGUUUUCACCUCACAUGGGCUAGUGGAUUGCUUUCAGGAUACAUCCGUACCUAUGAUUUCGUGAGAUUUUCAUCUUCGUAUGGUUGUAGGGAAAUGUAUUCCCCUGAACCGAACUCGAUUCAUAUGAGCCUAUAAUGGGUGAGGAUUGAGGAAUCUGCUAGUUCAUGUACUCUUUCUUUAGAACUGAGCCACAUAUAGUGAACCUUAAGAGCUAUCCUUAGGUAGAGUUGUGUUAAGCCUUAAUAAUUGCCCAUAUAUGUGUUUGAUUAUCUUUUUUUUUGCUUGUAUUUUAUUAUUUAUAUCUAAUACUGACUUACUAUGUUUUUUUAUUGUGUUUUGCAUAACAUUGCAUACUAAAUGAGGUUUUGAUUCGUAUUCGAUUACUAAGUUAGAAGAUUUAACAUGGAGAAUGAAUUUCUUGAUAAAGUUGAGGAUAAUGUGGUGCCCAUGCAUGGUCAGAGAAGUUACAAUCAUAGAAAGGGGAUAGCCUGGCAGAAGGAUAUACAUCAGAGUUGCAGAACUUCACUCGCAUCAAUGUGACACAGAAUAAGUUGCAAGAGUUGAGAGAUAUAUUGGCUCGAUGGGAUGAGGGAACCAAACAAUUGUUCUAUCAGAGCCAUGGUGAUAUACCUUACUUGCUCGAUAUUAAGGUGGACAAGCAUUUGUUCCGAGUUAUGGCUCAAUUUUGGAAUUCUACCUACAAUUGUUUCACUUUUAGAGAAGUAGACUUGAUGCCUACCGUGGAGGAAUACACUACCUUGCUAAGGUGUCCAAAAGUUCAAGUCAGAAAAGCUUAUGCUAAAGUUUUGAAUGGUCCAACUUUUGCGAAGAGAUUGAUGAAUAUUUCGGGGAUGAGUGAGCCUUGGAUCACUGCUCGAAUUCAACAAAAGGAGGACAGUAAAUGUAUUCCUUGGGAGAAUUUGAGAGAUUUGGUUUUAACACAUCCGGAUGAAAGGAAAAGGGUCGAUAUCUUCACAUUAAGUAUCUAUGGAUUGGUGAUUUUUCCUAAGGCUUUAAGGCAUGUGGAUGAGGCAGUCACUUAUUUAUUCGAUCGUCUUGAGAAGGGAAUCACACUUGUACCUACAAUACUGGCUGAGAUGUUCAGAUCCUUGAGCAUGUGUCGGAGAACAGGCGAAGGUCGAUUUAUUAGAUAUGCACAGCUGUUGAUGGUGUGGUUUCAUGGGCAUUUUUGGAAAGUGAACAAUGUUUCUUACCGGGUCUUCUCUGAAAGUUAUUCCCCAUUAAAGGAGGAGGUAGCUAUGCAAAAGAGAGACGAUAUUUUAGAGGAGAAAUAGAUGGAAAUUCUUCAAAAUCUCAAAGAGGAGGAUAUAGAGUAGAGAGAUUUUUGGAUGGUUCCUGAUGAGAUCCUGCAUCGAUGUGGGAACUUUGAUUGGGUACCAUUGUCAGGAAUUUGGGGAGCCACUGGAUAUACUCCUUUGCUUGCAUUAAAGCAGUAUAAAUCGAGGCAGUUUAUACCCACGACUUACGGACUUGCUCAAUGCAAAUUCCCAUAUAAGGGUGACCAUUAUAAGAAGAAGGUUCAGGAAAUGUCUGAUGCUUGGAAGCAAACUCGUUGGAUGAAGAGGUUGGCUGUUGGUUCUAUGACAACACCUGAGUACAAUGGAUGGUUUAGGAAAAGGGUCAAUGAUAAUAUUCUUAGAUCAAGUUUAGAAGGCACCAGACCAAUGGAGGAACAGUUAUAAGUUGCCCCGUCAGAGUUAGAAAUUAUAAAGCAAUACUUUGAGAAGAAGAGUUCUGAGCUUGGGAAAAGGAUCGAGCGGUUGGAAGAAGAAAAGAUACAUCUGAGAUUAGAUGUAGAGGUUCAAAAGUCAGAGGUAGAAAAGUUUCGGAAAAGGAAGAAUGAAGUUAAGGAGGAUUUGGAAGGUUUGAAAAUAGAUUAAAAGAAGCUGCGCUUAUCAAUGAGGACUGCGGGAUUAGGAAAAACUUUGGAACAAUGGCGUCAGGAAAUUCGAGAAGAAAAGACUAAGGUUGAUCAAUGGGAAAAGAGAUUUCAGGAGGUUGAAGCUCAAAAUGAGGCCUUGGAGAAAAGUCUGUCAGAGAGUAAAAAUGAACAAGACGAAUUAAGGGCUAGAGUAGCGGAACUUAAGAGAUCUCUAGGUCUAUACCGGAAUCGCAAUUCUGUGAUAGAGUUGAGAGCAAGCUUAAGCAAGAUCGAAGAGAUGAAAGGGAGAAUAGAAGAAUUAGAGACAACAUUACAAAAUUGUGAAAUGAGGAUUGAGUUGUUGGAGGCAAAUGAGGAACAAUGGAAAGGUCAGCUUCAUCACUCUCAAAACCAAGUUAGAAGUAGGGAUUACAUCAUGGGAGAAGCUAUAACGCAAAUUCAGGAGGUAGCUGGCGGUACAAGCAGAAAUAUUAAGUGUGAAGUAUGAGUUGGAAUCAGAUACAGGGCAGGAGCUAGCCUCGUUGCUUAGGAAAAUUAAAGCUCUGAGCAUUAGGGCGAAGUCUUACUUGCAACUCAGUUUUAUGUAAAGAAUUUUGUUUUCUAGUAAAGUUUUCUAAAUGGAAUUAGAUUAGAAUUGAUGCCUCCUUUACAUUCAUGCAUUUGCAUUACGUUACAUCAUAUGCAUUAAAGGCCAUAACAAGAUUCUAAUUAAUUAAAAAUUAUUUCAGUAAUCUGGAAACUAACAAAAACACACCAAAUAUGCAUCCUUACGGUACAAGGAAAAAAACCAAGUAAAGGGACAAAAGACUUGAAAAUUUAGAGCAAAUGCAAAGGGAUAUGCAAGAACAAAUGCAGUCACAGAUGUGAGAGUAGCUAGCUAAGAUUCAGCAAUUUGCAAAAAUCGUCUGUUACGAUCAGGCCUCAGCAAUUUCAAGCUAGAGUGUCAAUACCAAUGAAUUUCCAAGCUAGUUCAGGUUUUAAUCCUGGUAACAAAUCGAAUAAUCUAAUGGUUCCUGAUUUGGAUGAAGUUGCAAAAGAAGAAAAAGCAAGGGCAGAAUCACAAAAACAAUUAGAGGAACGGUGUAAAUGGUUGAGGAAAAGGUCAGGGCAAUGGAAGGCGUUGAUAAACAUCCUGGAAUUGAUACAAAAGAGAUAAGUUUGGUCCCAGAUUUAGUACUUCCAUAUAAGUUCAAGAUGCCAGAAUUCGAGAAGUACAAUGGAACGAGCUAUCCUGAAGCUCAUAUUACCAUGUUUUGUAGAAGAAUGACUGGGUAUGUUAAUAAUGAUCAAUUGUUAAUUCAUUGCUUCCAAGACAGUUUGGUGGGAGUAGCUGCUAAAUAGUACAAUCAGUUGAGUCAAAACAGAAUUAGUUCCUAGAGAGAUCUAGCACAGACAUUCAUGAAGCAGUACAAUCAUGUAACAGAUAUGACUCCUGAUAGAAUUACUCUGCAGAAUAUAGAGAAGAAACCAAAUGAAAGUUUCAAGCAAUAUGCAUAGAGAUGGAGGGAAAUGGCCAUCCAAGUUCAGCCGCCACUCUUGGGGAAGAAAACUACAAUGCUCUUUAUUAAUACCUUAAAAGCUCCUAUAACGCCCUCACGCCCGAGGCUGUCGCCAGAGUCAAGCUUGAGGUGUUACUAAACUUAAUUCAUCAAUUUAACAGCUCAAAUAAUUUAUUAUUAAAACUUCCAGACAAGCUGGCAAUCUGCAUUAUAGUCGCUUAAAAAUUCAUAUCUUGAGUUCUGAAACUCAAAAUCCAAUUCCGUAAAUUUUUCUUGAAACUAGACUCAUAUAUCUAUCUACUAAUUUUUUUCUAUAAUUUUUGGUCUGGAAAAUUAGUACAGUUUAUUAGUUAAAGGCUCCCCUAUUUCAGGGUUUGACUACUCUGACCCCUGUGUAUUACGAAUUAGAUAUCUCCCUGUACAGAGUUUCAAUGACUACGUCAUUUAUUUCUUAUAAAACUAGACUCAAUAAAGAUUUCAUACAUUUAAAAUAAAACUCGUAAUUGUUUUUUUACAAUUUAUAGUGAAUUUUUAAAGUCAGAAUAGGGGAUACAGAGAUCACUCUGACCCUAUUCCACAAAAACUUAAAUAUCUCACAAAAUAUAACUCAUAUACCUGUUCUGUUUCUUUCAUAUGAAAAUAGACUCAUCAAGAUUCGAUUAAAUAACUUAUUCAUCAUUUAAUUCCAUUUCUAAUAUUUUUAGUGAUUUUUCAAAUUCACAUCACUACUGCUGUCUGAAUCUAUUUUAUGGUAAAUUUUAUCUAUUUCAUGGUUUCCAUGGAUUAGCUAGCAAUUUGACAUACAUAACUCCAAAUAUGAUCAUGAUUAGCCAUUCCAAUGGCUAAUCAUUAUCAAGAAUUUCCAUACCACUCAAUAACCAUAUCAUAAGACCAUAUAUACAAAAUGAUUAUAAUGCUAUACAUGCAAUACCCAAAAUAUACAAGCCAUUAUGCCAAGAUGGUAUACGGAUAGUCUGAGCGAGCCUCUGACCGUUCCCGAUUUCCGAGCUGACUUGUCAAAACUACAAGGAAAGAAAAGGAGGGAGUAAGCAUAAAUUCUUAGCAAGUUCACAUGCAAAUAGCAAGUAACAUAACCAUAUAAGCAAACAUAAAACAUCAUUUGCAUAAUCAUCACCAAGACAUUCAUAUCAUAUUAUCAUUUAUCAUCUUACUAUAUUGUUGUUAUAUUGAGUUUUCAACCCGAGGGUUAAGUAGAUACCUGUUCAAAGUAUCCAUUUCACAACACUUACAAAAAUGUCCCUUUCAUCUCGAGUAUUCCUCCAUUUGAGUAGAACUUUGCCCGUUGAACACAUCGGAAUAUAAUUCGGAUACAUGGAAAGUUUGCACAUAAGUGCCACAUAUGUAGCCAAGCUACCAUGUAACCCGCCCAUAAGCGAACUCGGACUCAACUCAACGAGCUCAGGUGUUCGUAUCCAUAAGUGAACUCGGACUCAACUCAACGAGCUCGGAUGCCUAGUUACAUCUCACAAACUCGGACUCAACUCAACGAGUUCGGAUGCCCAAAUAUCCCAGUGACAUGUCACUUGUAUCCUAAUCCAUUCCUAAGGUUCAACGGGACCUUUUUCCCAAUCAUGUGUCUCAACCAUCUUCUACGGAAUGCCGAUACCGAUACUCGAUAGUAUUUCACAUUUUCCAAGUAUAUCACAUAAUUUGACAUAUUAUCAAACAAUUAUCACAAGUAUAAUAUUUCAUAAUAAUUAUCAUAUCAUUUAAAUAAAAUUAAAACAUUUAAAAUAAUAAAUAUGUUACCAACAUUUACAUAUGAACUUACCUCGUAUGCGAAAAUGGCUACUUUUACCAUUUCGUCCACAACUUGGUAUUUUCCCCAUUUUAGCCCAAAUUUCAGUUUUCCUUGCUCUAUCAUUUAAAAUAUAGUCUAAUUAGGACUCACAUUAUUCAAAUUGACCCAAAAUCAUAUUUUUGCAAAAUUACAAUUUUGCCCUUAAACUUUUGCAUAUUUACACUUUUGCUCCAAAGCUCGUAAAUUAAACUUCAGCCUAUUUUCUUAUGUUUUAUGACAUGCUUAUCGUUUUUCCCUUCUAUAGCAACAUCAAAUUCUCACUCUAACAUGUACUUAUGACUAUUAGGUAUUUUUACUAAUUAAGCCAUUUUACUCGUUUUCACUUAAAACCGAGUAGCACAAGUUGUCUAACAUAAUUUAAAACCUCACAUUCUAUCAUAAAACACAAAAAUACACAAAUUUCACCUAUGGGUAUUUUUCCAAUUAUGAACCCUAGGUUCAAUUAUUGCUAGUAUAAGCUAAAUCAAGUUACCGGAACUCCAAAAACGUAAAAAAAACAUUAAAAACGAGGCUAGAACGGACUUACAAUCAAGCUUGGAAGCUUGAAAAACCCUAGCCAUGGUUUCUCCUUGCUAUAAUCGGCCAUGGGGUUGAAGAUGGACACAUUUGGGUUUUAAAAUUUGUCUUUUAAUUCAUUUUUCCCCUAAAUGACCAAAAUGCCCUUUUUACUAUUCUUUAAAUUUUUACCCUUCCAAGCCCAUUUUUGUCCAGAUUUUUUUAGAAAUUGGUCAAAUUACUCUUUAAGGACCUCUAAUUAAUAAUCUAAUUCAAAAUUAUGCAAAAUGCUUCUAGAACACAAGUUUUGCAAUUUAUUCAAUUUAGUCCCUAACUUCAAAUUAAGCACUUUAUGCAUAGAAUUUCUUCACGAAAUUUUUACACAAUCAAGAAAUCAUAUCAUAGACCUCAAAAUAAUUAUAAAAUAAUUGUUUCUAUCUUGGAUUUGUGGUCUCGAAACCACCAUUCCGACUAGGCCUAAAAUCAGGAUAUUACAGCUCCGUUCAUAACUCACAUGUUAGGAAGUGCCACAAGGAGUUUUGCAGAUGUGGUCAUGACAGGAGAAAUGAUUGAGAAUGCCAUAAUAAAUGGAAGGAUAGAUGCAGGAGAAAGUUCUAAAAGGUCUGCGCCACGGAAAAAGGAAAAUGAGGUGAACAAUGCAAACAUGGGGUAUUCAAAGUCUGUUACUGUAAGUCAACCAAAGGCGAUAACUGCUGGUCAGGAUUGAUCAAGGCAGGAAUCUGGAGCAAGGCAAAACAAUGAGAAGCUUUAAUUUACACCAAUCCCCAUGACGUAUAAAGAGUUAUAUCAAAGUUUGUUCGAUGCACAUGUGGUGGCACCUUUUUAUCUAAAUCCAUUAUAGCCUCCGUUCCCUAAAUGGUACGAUGCUAAUGCUCAAUGUGAGUAUCAUGCAGGGAUCGUAGGACAUUUAGAAAAUUGUACUACUUUUAAGAAGCUGGUUGAGAGAUUUAUUCAGAUGGGCAUUGUGAAGUUCGAUAAUGUGCCUAGUGCAGAAAAUCUGUUACCUAAUCAUACUAAUAGUGGGGUAAACGUAAUAGGUAGAAGUAUGAGAAAAAGAAUCAAGAUGGAUAUUACGGAAGUAAGAACUCCUUUAAAGUGGGUCUGGAAGGAGAUGGUAAAAAACGAGUUAGUUAUGAUGAAUUCAGAAGAAAGUGGUGAUGAAAUAGAGAAUUAUUGUGAGUACCACUAUAAAGAGGGACAUGAAAUUCAGGAAUAUGACGAGUUCAGAGCUAUUAUCCAGGGCUUUAUGGACAACAAGGAAGUAGAAUUUUAUGAAGAGGUUAAGGAAGAGGAGUAUAUAUGCAUGUCAAAAUCCACGUCGAGUGUCACGAAAGUUAAUUAUCCUGUGGUUAUUAUUUCACGUCCUAAGAAUGAAGCAGGAAUUCAGAUGAGACUGAAAAUCAUAAUUCAGAAGCCAGCGGUUUUCUCUUACAAGGAUAAAAAAAGGGUCCAUUGGAAUUGUGAUUGUAAUGUGACAGUCCCGGGAAUGGAGAGUUCAGUCAGCCCGUUAAAGGAGGAUUAAAAUGUAGGUUCUCACACGCACAGUAAAAGACGAUAUGAUUUGACAAAUGCCCGAACAGAAUUUGUAAAAGGAAAAGAUGUGACGGUUGAACAAAAGAAGGGAAAAACGGUCGAAUAUGGGGUACCUGUUAAUGAACCAGUGAAAGAAGAAGAAGCUAAAGAAUUCAUUAUAUUUCUGAAACAUAGUGAGUACAAUGUGGUGGAAAAGUUGCAUAAACAACCAACCCACAUAUCUAUAUUAGCUUUACUCCUAAGCUCAGAGGUAUAUCGAAGUGCAUUGAUGAAGGUGCUAAACGAGACGUAUGUGAGCAAUGAUAUUUCUGUCAACAAGUUGGAUUGGAUGGUUAAUAACAUAAGUACAAACAACUUCAUCUUUUUCAAUAAUGAUGAGAUACCACCAGGAGGUAUGGGGUCUACCAAAGCCUUGCAUAUAACCACCAGAUGUAAAGGGUACACAUUGCUAGGGGUUCUGGUAGAUAAUGGGUCGGCACUGAAUGUACUGCCUUUGUCCACACUAAACAGGUUACCUGUGGAUAGCUCACACAUGAAAGGAUGUCAGAAUAUAAUGCGAGUAUUUGAUGGCACAGAGAGGAGAGUCAUGGGGAGGAUAGAAAUACCUUUGUUGAUUGGCCCAACUACAUAUGAGGUAGAUUUCUUUGUAAUGGAUAUUAAGCCCUGUAACACCCCGUACCCGAGACCGUUUUCGGAGUCGGACACGAAGUGUGAACGAACUUAACUCAUUUAUUUAUACAGUUCAUUUUACCAUUUCCAGACAAGCUGGCCAACUGCGUCACUGCCACCUUAAAAAUCAUAUCUCGAGUUACAAAACUUGAAAACCAGUUCCGUAAAUUUUUCCUGAAACUAGACUCAUGUUUCCAUCUACAAAUUGUUUUCUAGAAUUUUUUGGUCCAGCCAAUUAGUACAGUUUAUUAGUUAAAUUCUCCCCUAUUUCAGGGUUUCUACUACUCUGACCUCUGUGUAUUACGAACCAGAUAUCUCUCUGUAUAGAGAUUCAAUGACUAUGCCGUUUGUCCCUAAUAAAAGUAGACUCAAUAUUGAAUCUGUAUAUAUAAAGUAUGACUUCUAAUUAUCUUUGUAGAAUUUAUGGUGAAUUUCUAAAUUCGGGACAGGGGAUCCAGAAAUCGUUCUGGUCCUGUUUCACAAGAUUUUAAAUAUCUCAUACAUUAUAGCUCAUAUACUUGUUUUAAUUCUUCCAUGUAAAAAUAGACUCAUCGAGCUUUGAUUCUAUAAUUUAUCCAUUAUUUAAUUCCAUUUCUAGUAUUUUUAGUGAUUUUUCAAUUUCACAACACUACUGCUGUCUGCCUCUAUUAUUAGAGUAAAAUUUUUUUCUAUUAGAGUAAUUUAGCAUGCAUAUCACCAAGUAUGAUCAUGACUAGCCAUACCCAAGGCUAAUCAUUACCAAGCAUUUCCUUACUACUCAAUAACCAUAUCAUGAGUGUAACACCGGAAAUGAUUAGCCAUGACAAACGGCAUAAUAAUUAAAUAGACUUUAACCGUUACUUAUAACUAAGUAUCAUAAGACCCAAUUCAACUUAACAUUUACGCCAUUUUCGCAUGGCUAAAAGUAUACAUACCAAAGUUCAAACAAAACAUAAUAGCCUAUACAUGCCGAAAUGUUCUCUUAGACCAACUAAGAAGAAGAUACAAAAAAGUUGCAAGCUGGUGCGAUGACUUCGACGGUGAUCCCGAGCACACAAAAAUGGAUCAAAGGAACCUAAAUAAGUGACAAAUAAACACACCAAUGAGUAUAUAACUCAGUAAGUCAUAAGCAUUACAUACCGUAUAAUUAUAAGAGAUCAUAAGAGAAGCAAAUAAUGCAAAAAAAAUCAGUUACUCCAACUAUACCGAGCUACGCUAUCAUUUCUUAGAAUUUCGAUUCAAUCUCAUGCCAAUUCCUACAAUCAAAUCACACACCAAAACAACCCAAUUGAUUUAGACCCGAUCCCUCAAAGCAUGGAAUUUUGAUGCACUAGAUAAAUUUGUAUCUACUCAGUACAUGCCUCAAGUUCGAUACUUUAGUUACUAGUUCUACCACUUCGUUCUUUCACGCUCAUUUUAUAUUAUUAAUCGAAUUUGCACACAUAGUGCUCGUCACACUCGCACACAUAGUGCCAUAGCACACCGCACACUCAGUGCAUUGGAUUUUCUCUUAUACUUCAACACCCAAAUCGGCACACAUAGUGCUACUUAAUUCCGCACACAUAGUGCCACAUGUUAACUCAUUUUGAUAAGGAAAUUUACUUAAUUUAAAUAGCACAUAUGGUCAUAUUAAUAAAUAGGAAAAUUAUUCCAAGAGAACUCCUAACGAAAGGAAUCCCUUUUAUGAUUCACUAAUAUUAUUUAUAUACAAGCUAAUCAACCUCACAGGAGUACUUAAGGACUUACCUUAUAUUGGAUGAAAUGAUUCCCAAUCGACUACUCGAUUAUCUUUGCUUUGCCUUUGUUUGAUUCUCCCCCUUUGAUGUCUUGAUCUAGAAUAAACACAUUUAGUAGUUUAAUUUUCUUGCUGGAUACUUAUGUGUAUAAUUUAAUGGUUUUCACUCCAUUUCACAACUAUCCUUGUUCAAAAUAUCAAAACCUUAACCAAUAUUCGAUUAAUGCUUCAAGGCCGAAUGUAUUAUCACUAUUAAGGUAACCUAGUCUCAAGUAUUUUUAAUUCUAAUAUACAACAUCAUGAAUCAACUCAACCUUAUAAGCCAAUAUUACUCCUUCAAUCGAUUAUCGAGAGUUAACAAAAAAUAUUAUCACAAACAUAUACACCUAUAUGGCCGAAUAUACCAAAUUAAAUUUAACCUUACUUAUGUAAUUACCUAUAAGUUAUUAUACAUCAAAUUUCAUACAUGUAACCUUUUAAUGCCUAUUAACCAUUCUUUUGAUCUUAACCUAAAAUGACAACUCCCAUACUCAACAUUUCAACCGAAUUAUCCCUAUCACCCGAACUAAAAUUCGCACCUUAACUUCAUACAUUUUUUUUAUUAUGACUUUCAUAAUUCAUUCGGCCCCAUCAAAGGACCCCUUUAACAUACAAGGAAAAUAAUCAUAGAGAAAGAAAUUAACAUUCUAAUUAGACUCAAUGUAACCGAAUGUACCAAGUGCUACUAACCUACUUAUUCAAAAAUCUUCAUUCCAUACUAUCAUCCCCCUUUUAUCCCAUACAACAUGAAAAUGACCUCCAAUGUUAACACUUAGAUUCACGACAUGAUGCCCAAACCACCAUAAAAGCUCCAACUUUCUUAACAUUACUAAGAGUGCAUCCAAUUACUAACUUAACCUAUCAUAAAACUAAAUCAACAAUUCAAAACUUACCUCUUACUAGCUAAAGAAGAAUGCCGAAUUUCUUUUGGCAAGUUCCCCUUAUUUCUUCAUCUCUUCAUUCGGCCAAGAAGAACCGAUUUCUUCUUUUGUUUUCAUCACAUUUUCAUUCUUUUUUUUCUUUUAUUAUUUCCUUUCUUUUACAUAAAAUAAUGACCACUUCAUGGAAAUUUACCACAUAUUCUAAUAUAUGCUCCAUCAUGGCCGGCCACUAUGUAUAAAAAAAGGAGUAUUUGACAUGCAAAACCAUUAUUUUCACUACAUGCUUUAAUAGGUCCUUAUAGAUUAACCUAUCACAUUUCAAAAGUGUCACACAUAAGUCCUAUUAACUAAAUUCACAUGCAAUCGACUAAAUCGAAGCUUAAAACUUUCACACAUUCAUAUUCACAUACUCUAGACAAUAAUUAUCACAUUCAAAUACUUCGGUGACUCGGUUUAGCGGUCCCGAAACCACUUCCCGACUAGGGUCAAUUUAGGGCUGUCACAAAGCCCUCUUACAACUACUUGCUAGGGAGACCUUGGAUACAUUCAGCGGGGGUAGUGCCUUCAUCAUUACAUCAAAAGUUAAAGCUAGUAUCAGAAGAACGGUUGGUAACGAUAAACGCUGAAGAGGACAUUAUUGUAAGCAGUGAUGCAUCGUAUUUAGAGAUAGACGAUGAAGCUAUUGAGUGUUCUUUUCGAUCUUUGAAGUUUGUGAAUGCAACAUUCAUCACUGAGGGGAGUAGAAUUCUGGUGCCGAAAAUGUCUAAAAUUACAAUGAUGGGUUUACAGUUGAUGGUAGGACGUGGAGCUUUACCAAGAAAGGGACUUAGGAGAUGUCUCCAGGAAAGAAUUGAGGUUCCGAUGUUGAAGGACAAGCAUGAUCGCUUUGGUUUGGGGUUCAAGCCAGAUGCAAGACAAAGGAAAAAGGGAAUUGGAAAGAAUGUAGGAAAGAAGAAGAGCACGUGUGAGUGGUGGAGAAAUUAAGUAGGAGCCCAUUAUAAUCCCUCACAUUUCUAGGACUUUUUUAUUAGGAGGGAUUAUUUAUCCUGAACAAGGGAGGACAGAGAAAGAGGGGAUUUCGUGUGGAAGUGUGUACAUCAAUGCCAUAUUUGAAGAGACAAUUAAAGAGGGGAUUUCGUCAGAUAUUCGUCCAUAUGAGCCUGGGAAUGUUCUAGACAAUUGGACUGCAGAAGACCUUCCUGUAGUUUCUAGAGCUUACUCAGAGUAAUGUUCAAAACAAACUUAUUGUUUUAAGCCUAGAGGCAAUAAAGAUUUCUUUAUGAAAUAGGCUCAUGUUUAAACAUCAUUAUUUCAAUGAAGUACAUUUUUCGCUAUCAUUUUGAGCAAACAUUCUCUUAUUCUUUUCACAAGCAAUUAUGUUAUUCUUUCCAUUUAAAUGAUUAUCCUGAUUCUUUCUUUAAUUAUUCUUUUAUUUCAUUCAUAAACAUACCAUACAAGACAAUAAUUAUCAAAUUCAUUUAUUCUUUGUAUAUUUUUUGUACCUAUAAUAGGUCCCUGGAUAUUAAUAUCAUGAGUGACGCUAUUAUUAACUCAGAAUCACUAUUUGAUUAAGACAUGUGUUUAGAGGGACCUUAGGACUUUAAAGAUGACAAAGAUUGUGAUUUAUCUCCGGACUUGUUAAGGAUAGUAGAAGAAGAGGAAAAUCAAAUUUUACCUCAUAAAGAAGUAGUGGACAUGGUGACUCUAGAAGAUGAGAAAGUUGUAAAAAUUGGAACAUGCAUAACUAAAGAAACAAAGCGAGACCUUGUUGGGUUGCUUCAGGAAUUCAAAGGUGUUUUUACAUGGUUAUACCAGGAUAUGCCCGGGUUAAGCACCGAUAUUAUAGUACAUUGCCUUCCCACAAAAGAAGAUUGCAAACCAGUACAGCAGAAACUUCGAAGAAUAAGGCCAGAUAUUGUCUUAAAGAUAAAGGAGGAAGUCAAAAAGCAAUUCGAUGCUGGAUUCCUUCAGGUGAUCAAAUACUUAGAAUGGGUAGCCAACGUUGUGCCUAUUCCUAAGAAAGACGGAAAGGUACGAAUGUGUACAGAUUAUAGAGAUCUAAAUAAGGCUAGCCCAAAGGACAAUUUCCUCUUGUCUCACAUUGAUACGCUAAUGGACAAUACAACUGGUUACUCGUUGUUUUCCUUCAUGGAUGGCUUCUCGAGGUAUAAUCAGAUCAAGAUGCAUCUAGAGGAUAUGGGAAAGACUACUUUCAUAACUUUAUAGGGCACAUUCUGUUAUAAAGUGAUGCCGUUCGGACUAAAGAAUGCUGGAGCGACAUAUCAAAGGGCCAUGGUGACCUUAUUCCAUGAUAUGAUGCACAAGGAGAUUGAAGUUUAUGUUAAUGAUAUGAUAGCCAAAUCUCGAACUAAAAAGGAACACAUCCAAGUGUUGAGAAAGUUGUUCAUGAGAUUGAAAAAAUUUCAGUUAAAGCUUAAUCCAACCAAGUGUACUUUUGAGGCUAGAUCCGGAAAGCUAGUGGGCUUUGUAGUCAGUGAGAGAGGAAUUGAGAUUGAUUCAGACAAAGUCCGAGCUAUACAAGAGUUGUCUCCACCGCGCACUCAAAAGGAAGUUCGAGGCUUCCUGGGAAGAUUAAAUUACGUUGCUCGGUUUAUUUCUCAAUUAACAGAGAAAUGUGACCCCAUAUUUCGUCUUCUUAAAAAACAUAAUCCGGGAGAAUGAGAUGAUGAAUGCCAGAGAGCUUUUGGUAAAGUUAAAAAAUAUUUGUCGAGUCCUCCAGUGUUAUCACCUCCAAGCUCAGAUAGGCCGUUGAUACUGUAUUUAACCAUGUUUGGUAAUUUUAUGGGAUGUGUGCUUGGUCAACAUGAUGAAUCAGGAAGAAAAGAAAGGGCGAUAUAUUACCUCAGUAAGAAAUUCACUGAAUGUGAAUUGAGAUAUUCGCCAAUUGAAAAAUUGUGUUGUGCUUUGGUCUGGACAGCUCGGAGGUUAAGGCAAUACAUGUUGUACCAUACGACUUGGUUAAUCUCAAAGAUGGAUCCUCUAAAGUAUAUGAUGGAGUGAAAUGUCUUGAAUGGGAGGAUGACUAGGUGGCAGAUUCUGCUUUCUGAAUUUGACAUAAUCUACGUGAGUCAAAAAGUCGUGAAAGGGAGUGCAAUAGCAGAUUUUUUGGCCAGUCGUACUUUAAAAGAUUAUGAGCCCUUCAAUUUUAAUUUUCCCAAUGAAGAGAUAGUGUAUGUGGCAGUUACUGAAGAAGAUGUUACAAAAGAUCACUCUUGGAAAUUAAAUUUUGACGAAGCCUCAAACGCUAUGGGUAAUAGAAUUGGAGCAGUUUUGGUAUCCCCUGGUGAAGAUCAUUAUCCAUUCACAUGUAAAUUGGAUUUUGAUUGCAUGAAUAAUAUGGUAGAGUAUAAAGCAUGUAUUAUGGGGCUCCGAGCAGCUAUAGAGCGCAAGAUCAUGUUACUAGAAGUAUAUGGAGAUUCUACGCUAGUAAUUUACCAACUUCGAGGUGAAUGGGAGACAAGAGAUUCCAAAUUAAUCAAUUACAGAAGGUUAAUGCUGGGGUUAGUUGAAGAGUUUGAUGAUAUUACCUUCAAUUAUCUCUCGCGCGAUGAAAACCAGAUGGCAGAUGCUUUGGCUACUUUGGCUUCCAUAAUCAAAGUAAGCAGACAAGAAGAUAUGAAACCCAUUCGGAUGAGUAUUUGUGAGGACCCGACUUAUUUUUAUAAUAUAAAGGAAGAAGAGAGAGAUGAUCAUUCUUGGUAUCAGGAUAUAUUGCGAUACAUAAGAAAUUGUGAAUAUCCAGAUCAAGCCAUGGAGAAUAACAAAAGAACGUUAAGAAGGCUCACUUAUGAUUAUGUCUUAGAUGGGGAGAUCCUGUAUAAAAGAAGAAAUGAUCAAGUACUUUUGAGAUGUGUGGAUGCUGUAGAGGCCAAGAAAAUCUUGGAAGAAGUUCAUGAAGGCGUUUGUGGAACACACGCUAAUGGGUUCACAAUGGCCAGACAAAUUAUGAGGUUUGAAUAUUAUUGGUCGACUAUGGAAGGAGACUAUUUCAAUUAUGCUAAGAGAUGUCACAAAUGCCAAAUUUAUGGUGAUAAGAUUCAUGUACCUCCCUCGCCUUUACAUGUUAUGACUUCCCCAUAGCCAUUUUCCAUGUGGGGCAUGGAUGUCAUAGGACCAAUCUCACCGAAGGUGUCAAAUAGGUAUCGUUCCAUUUUUAUGGUCAUUGAUUAUUUUACCAAGUGGGUGGAGGCUGCUUCAUAUGCCAAUGUAACUAAAUCGACAGUCAGUAGAUUUUUUAAAAAGGAAAUUAUAUGUCGAUAUGGGAUGCCUGAGAGGAUCAUAUCUGAUAAUGCAUUAAAUUUGAACAAUAAUACAAUAGCAGAGGUCUGCAGCCAGUUUAAGAUUAGACAUCAUAAUUCAUCACCAUAUCGCCCAAAAAUGAAUGGGGCAAUAGAAGCAGCCAAUAAAAAUAUCAAGAAGAUUGUGGAGAAAAUGACUGAAACUUACAGAGAUUGGCAUGAGAAGUUGUCAUUUGCUCUUUUUGCUUAUCGAACAUCUGUCAGAACUUCUAUUGGGGCAACACCCUUCUCAUUAGUUUAUGGAAUGAAAGCUAUUCUACCCAUUGAGAUAGAGAUACCUUCUCUUCGAGUUUUGUCAGAAUUCAGGUUAGAUGAAGUAGAAUGGAUACAGUCUCAAUAUGAUCAGUUGAAUUUGAUUGAGGAAAAGAGGCUAAGGGCUAUCCAGCAUGGUCAGAUGUAUCAAAAAAGAAUGAUGCGGGCUUAUGACAAAAAGGUUCACCCACGAGAAUUUCAUGAGGGAGAUUUGGUUCUGAAAAAGAUUCUUCCUAUACAAAAGGAUUUCAAAGGAAAAUGAAUGCCAAAUUAGGAGGGGCCUUAUGUGGUGAAGAAAGCUUUCUCUGGAGGAGCAUUAAUCCUAGCUGAAAUAAACGAAAAAAACUUGUCUAAUCCAGUAAAUUCAGAUUCAGUCAAAAAGUAUUGCACUUAAUAAGAAGAAGAGGCCAAAGUGAAUACCUGCAAAGGGCGCUUUGAGACCUAAUAAAAAGGGCCAAAGUGAAAACCCGCAAAGGGCGUUUUGAGACUCAAUAAAAAUGAAAAAAGAAAAAAGAAAGAAAAAGGAGAGGCCAAGGUGAAAACCCGCAAAGGGCGCCUUGAGACCAAAUGGGAUUUGAGUUGAAAACCUGAAAAGGGUGGCUUAAAUGUUGAUCUAAAAUGGGGAAGUUGAUGAUCUUGCUAUACUUGAAUUAACAAGGAAAGGGUAUGUUGCAUCUUGGGGCAUUAACAAAGUACUUCUGAUCUUCUAAACACAUGUCAAGUUUGAAUUGGUCUUUAAGAAGGUCGUACGGAGAAGCUCAGUUUGCGAUAUCAAGGGUACCUAGUCUUCAUUUUAUUUCCAGUAAAUUGGCAAUUUUUGAAUUAGUCUUUCUUUUCAGGAUAUACAUUCUCAAAUCAAUGGCCAUUUUUGUUUCUUUGAUGAUUUAUUCACUUUAAGCUUAAAUUCAAUUCCAUUCUUAUCUAUUAUUACGAUUUGAUUGCAAGCAUGUUGCAUUAAAAUAAUGAUGAAUGAACUAGUAAUGUUUUCACAAUAGAAGUUUCGUAUAUUGCUCUAGGAGUUUCUAGAUAAUGCAGGAAUCUGAAAUAGGAUUAUUGUUUAGAAUGCACCAAAGCUCAAGGACAUACUUAAAUAAAUCGCCUCUUUGGAUUUUUGAAACAAAAGGACAAGAUAUGGCAUUGGUGAUACAAUUUUGAAAAAUGAUCAAUAUAAAAAGGAAUUAUUCUCAAGUAAGGGGAAAUGAUAUUUUGUAUCCAUGCAAAUAUAAAAAAUGCACAUUUGACUAUAACACUCGAAGAGUGAGGUAGUAGAUCAAACAGAGGCAAAUUCAACUAUGAGUUGCAAUGCUUUUGUCUCAAAAAGAAUAGGGGAAGGGACGUUGGAAUUUUAGUGGGGCAGGCUUGCUGAGCAGAAUAUGAUUGUUUCUUUGGGAUACUUUGUCAAGAUGAUGGUUGAGCGAAUACUUCAUUGACAGGAUAUUACCUUAAUUUUUAAAAUGGAAUCAUUCUCAUUUCUGCAUAUAUUAUUCAUACCACAUUUAGUUAAGAGCCUUGGAUUCAUUACAAUCAUAGCAUCCUAAUUGUUUGGCAUAAACAUGCGCAUAUAAAAUGGAGUCUACAGGACAUGUUCCCUAGAGGACAGUGCAGUGACAUUGGUGAAGUCAGAUCUUAUCUCCCUGAAGUUGCAGCGGAGUAGAUUAAAGAUGAUGAAUCUUAUCUCCAUGUGUCGGCAAUGAAGCAGAUUUAAGCCACCAGCCUUAUCUCUCUGAGGUAGCAAGAGAGCAGGUUGAAGAAUGAGUCUUAUCUUUCUGAGAUAGCAAGAAAGCAGACUGAAGAUUGAAGAUCUUAUCUCCCUAAGCAGUAGUGGAGCAGAUCGAAGAUGGUGAAUCUUAUCUCCAUGUAUAGGCAAUGGAGCAGAUUUAAGUCACCAUCUCUCUGAUGUAGCAAGAGAGCAGGUUGAAGAUUGAGUCUUAUCUUCCUAAGGUAGCAAGGAAGCAGACUGAAGUUUGAAGAUCUUAUCUCCCUAAGCAGUAGUGGAGCAGAUCGAAGAUGGUGAAUCUUAUCUCCAUGUAUUGUCAAUGGAGCAUUUUUGCCACUAGCCUUAUCUCUCUGAGGUAGGAAGAGGGCAGGUUGAAGUAAUUGGUCUUAUCUUCCUGAGGUAGCAAGGAAGUAGAUUGAAGAUUGAGGAUCUUGUUUCCCUUAAGCAGUUGUGGAACAAGUCGAAGACAGCAAAUCUUAUCUCCAUGUAUUGGCAAUGGAGCAUAUUUAAGUCAUCAGCCUUGUCUCCCUAAAGUUGUAGUGGGGCAGGUUGAAAUUACCAAUUUUAUUCUCCUUAAAGUUCUAGUGGUGAAUUGGAACGAGGCAACAUGAAGAAAAGAAGGGCCAAAAAGUCAAAGAUACAGUAAGACCUGGGCAAAAUUGGUCCUUUUAAGGUCUUUGCUUCAUCCUUGUUACACGAAAUUGUGCAAAGAGGGGCAGCUAUAGCAGGGCCAAUUUGCCCGGCCCGCAAUAAACCAAAAAAAUAAGUUAAAAAACCAAAAUAAAAAAAAACAAAUAAAGGAUACAAAUUUAAAAGUACAGUGUCCAUUUACAAAAUUUUUGGGCCAAAACCAAACCAAACCCAAAUAUUAAAAUUAAAUACCAAAUUAAUUCCUAACCCAAUAAACCUAGCCCGAAUGGCCUAAUAAUCCUAACCCAAUGAACCCAAAGGCCUAAAUGCAAAAAUGGCCCAAUGGCCCAAAUGACCCAAAGGCUGAUUUCAGAAGGGGAAACCCUAGUCUGCUGAUUAGCGCCGCAACAAUGGACUUCGCCCCUAGCCAUCCGAUUUCAAAGGAAGUUUCGGGAAUGCGCUAGAGCAGCGCCAGAGGGUCGGGCUCCCACGAGCAAAUUUUCACGCUUGGCUUCCACGUCACAAGGGUCUUCUCCUCCAUAUAACCAUGCUUGCAACAGAAUACACGAGAAACAACCAAUAAAAUACAUAGCCAAAUGACAGAAGGAAAAUAUGAUUUUUAUUUUUUAUUUAUUUUAUAAAUCUGGCUAUAAAAGUCCAUCAUUUGUACUCUGAAAAGGUUAGGCAUAUUGAGUAAAAAGAAACUAGAAAUUAUUAAAAGGUGAUUUCGAAUGCCUCAUAUUUGUUUUCCCUAAUUUUGGUCCAUAUUUUUUAUUUUUCAUGUGGGUUUCUGCAUAAAAAAGGUAAAAAAAAAAAAAGCUUACCUUCAAAUGAGCCAUUGGAGGCCGUAUCUUCUUUGUUGAAAUCGAAACUUGAGAUAGGUUCUCGAGGCUAAAAUCUGACCUUUUGAGGCAAGAUUUAGAAUGGGGGAAUGGAAUGAUUUCAUCGCCUGCUAUCAUCCACCGAUUAUAAUGGUGGAAUGGUGGUGGUUGAAUGGCAGAUCGAAAAGGGGUAAACAUCUAGGGUUUUCCCUUUUCUUCCCCCCAUUUGUUUUGCUGCGAUGCUUAGAUUUGUUUUAGGUUUG